rnacentral:tRNA from 1 species
AAUAAAGUAAGCUAUAUUUAAGCUAGUGGGUUCAUACCCCAAAUAAGGAUUUUAUCCCUUUAUUU